rnacentral:rRNA from 1 species
UACGGAGGGUGCGAGCGUUGUCCGGAAUCAUUGGGCGUAAAGGGCGCGUAGGUGGCCCGGUCAGUUCGUGGUGAAAGCGCGGGGCUCAACCCUGCGUCGGCCAUGAAUACUGCCGCGGCUGGAGCACUGUAGAGGCAGGCGGAAUUCCGGGUGUAGCGGUGGAAUGCGUAGAGAUCGGGAGGAACACCAGUGGCGAAGGCGGCUACCUGGACCAGCAUUGACACUCAAGCACGAAAGCGUGGGGAGCAAACAGG